CACGUAGGGGGCGAGCGUUGUCCGGAUUUAUUGGGCGUAAAGAGCUCGUAGGCGGUUCGGCAAGUCGGGUGUGAAAUUUCGAGGCUCAACCUCGAAACGCCACUCGAUACUGCUGUGACUGGAGUCCGGUAGAGGAGUGCGGAAUUCCUGGUGUAGCGGUGAAAUGCGCAGAUAUCAGGAGGAACACCAACGGCGAAGGCAGCACUCUGGGCCGGAACUGACGCUGAGGAGCGAAAGCGUGGGUAGCGAACAGG
rnacentral:rRNA from 1 species